rnacentral:misc_RNA from 1 species
UGUGGGAGCGAGCCUGCUCGCGAUAGCGGUGGGUCUGCUUGCAUUAAUGUUGAAUGUGCCGCCGCCAUCGCGAGCAGGCUCGCUCCCACA